rnacentral:rRNA from 1 species
UACAGAGGUCUCAAGCGUUGUUCGGAUUCAUUGGGCGUAAAGGGUGCGUAGGUGGCGGGGUAAGUCAGGUGUGAAAUCUCGGAGCUUAACUCCGAAACUGCAUUCGAUACUGCCGUGCUUGAGGACUGGAGAGGAGACUGGAAUUUACGGUGUAGCGGUGAAAUGCGUAGAUAUCAGGAGGAACACCGGUGGCGAAGGCGGAUCUCUGGGCCUGUCCUGACGCUCAGGCGCGAAAGCUAGGGGAGCAAACAGG